GUCUAUGGCCAUAUCACCCUGAACGUGCCCGAUCUUCUCUGAUCUUAGAAGCUAAGCAGGGUAGGGCCUGGUUAGUACUUGGAUGGGAGAAAGCAUUAACUUUUUUCU
rnacentral:rRNA from 1 species